UACAGAGGUCCCAAGCGUUGUUCGGAUUCACUGGGCGUAAAGGGUGCGUAGGUGGUCGGGUAAGUCUGAUGUGAAAUCUCUGGGCUCAACCCAGAAAUGGCAUUGGAUACUAUUCGGCUAGAGGAGUGGAGGGGGGACUGGAAUACUUGGUGUAGCUAGUGAAAUGCGUAGAUAUCAAGUGGAACACCAGUGGCGAAGGCGAGUCCCUGGACACUUCCUGACACUGAGGCACGAAAGCUAGGGGAGCAAACAGG
rnacentral:rRNA from 1 species